rnacentral:rRNA from 13 species
ACUUUGAAAAGAGAGUUAAAGAGUGCUUGAAAUUGCUAAAGGGGAACCCGUUGGUACCAGUGUGGCGUGGCGCGAUCUUACAGGGCCGUUUCGGCUCUGCACCGUCGUUUUUGCCUCUGUUGCCGGUCAGCAUCAGUUUGCCCCGUGCGAGAUCGCGGAUGGAGAAGGUAGCCAGGCCCAGCCCCCGGGUUGGUGUUUUCCUGGUGUUAUAGCUCCGCCAGCGUGGCAUGGGAUGGACUGAGGGAAAUCAAAACGUCGCGGGUCAACCUCUUCCCGCCUGGCGCUCAAAAAACGGCUCGGAGGGCCGGUACGUUUACAACUUGUUGUGCGUGCUGGUUUGUAGCUUCCUCCGGUCGGUGUGCUAUGGUUUUUUUUUGGGAGCGACGUCGAGAUGCAUGACAAAAUGGUGCCAACCGACCCGUCUUGAAACACGGACCAAGG